GCCUUCGUGGUGUAACGGUAGCACACUCGGUGGCCGGCAUUCAAAAGGUCCAGGUUCAAGUCCUGACAAGGGCA
rnacentral:tRNA from 1 species